UCACUCUACCGUCCAGCCAAAGCUGGCCAAUGAAAGUGAAGGGCAAAUUUAUCCCGUCUCCUUAACAUGAUAAUUACUUCACACUAGAGGUGUGAGGUGGUUAUCAAAUACAAAAUACACUGCUGCCAUUGUCCAUCUCUAUUCUUUUUCCCCUUGCUUCUGAAAAUGAUGUGUUUUAGCGAAAUGUGUUCUUUAGCAAGAACAAAAAAACACAUGCGAAGAAAUGUAUUUUUAGCAUGUGUUUUAGCGAAAUGUGUUCUUUAGCAA